rnacentral:misc_RNA from 1 species
AAACCUUCAAGCUCAGCUUGGUGAUGGGUGACUGUCCUAACCACGGACUCGCCCCAAAAACAUUGGCGGCCGGUACUUUGGCUUCGAGCGCAGCAGAAACGCGAACUCGAGCCCAUUGUGCUGGCUCCCAAAAGCUAUCUUCACAA